rnacentral:rRNA from 1 species
GACGAACGCUGGCGGCGUGCUUAACACAUGCAAGUCGAACGGAAAGGCCCUGCUUUUGUGGGGUGCUCGAGUGGCGAACGGGUGAGUAACACGUGAGUAACCUGCCCUCGACUUUGGGAUAACUCCAGGAAACGGGGGCUAAUACCGGAUAGUAGCUCCUGUUGCCUGGUGGGGGUUGGAAAGUGUCGGCGGUGGGGGGCGGAGGGGCGGCUUAUCAGCUUGUUGGUGGGGUAGUGGCUGACCAAUGCUUGGACGGGUAGCCGGCCUGGGGGGGUGACGGGCCACAUUGGGCCUGGGAUACGGCCCGGGCUCCUACGGGAGGCAGCAGUGGAGAAUAUUGCACAAUGGGCGGGAGCCUGAUCCAGCAGCGCCGCGUGCUGGAUGACGGCCUUCGGGUUGUAAACCGCUUUCGCCUGUGACGAAGCGUGAGUGACGGUAAUGGGUAAAGAAGCACCGGCUAACUACGUG